rnacentral:ribozyme from 1 species
UGCCCAGCAACUCCUAUCCCUACCUCCUCGUGGUACCGGCCGGAAACUAUUAGCAACCUCAGGGAAGAUCGGGUAACCAACCCCGGUGGGAACUUUGGUCAUAGGCUGACAGGGAAGG